rnacentral:lncRNA from 1 species
GGUCGAGAAUCAACUUUCUGGUUGAGUCGCGGGCAAUACAGAUCGAUCGGGAAAUUUGAAGUACGAGAAGGUCGAAGAAUGGAUCGUGAGUGAAGCAUGAGUUGAGAUAAGCUGCUCUACCAUUGUUAGAAAUGUCUAAGAUUGAUCAGACGGCAGUUUUGGAAGAAUCACAUUUUUGAAGCACGACGGUUUAGAAGCUCGACGUUUUUGAAGAUUGACGUUUCUUCAUCGCGAAGUUUUCUCAGAAUAUCUUCGUAUCAGUAAAAUAUUAUUCUGAAGACAUUAUAAGUCGGAAGCAGGACGGGAAUUAAGCAGGACGGGAAGCAAGCACGACGGGAUUGAAGCACGACGGGAAAAUCCGAAGUUGGGCGAAAACCCUAAUUUUGGUAUUAUCGAUUUUUCGAGGAAGCCGGAGGCUCGGGAAAUAUUUUCCAUCAAGGUCAGGAUUCACUUGGAGUUUAUUAAAAAUAUUCAUCUCAUCAGAACGGGCGUAGAAAAAUAUUCGGGAUUGAUCACGGGACGAAAAUUCACCGGAAGGGUCGAAAUCAGUCGAAUGGACCGAGAAGCUCGAGCUGGCCUUAUCUAUGAGAUAAGGACGUGAUGUAACCUGCCUGGCAUGGUAUGUGGCAAGGGAAGCAGGAGGUGUUGAAGCCCAGGAGAGCACAGCAUGCUGAUUGACACCCAGAAGCACGAGGUGCCGCGAAACCUGCGAUCGGAGCAUGCUGAGCGACAUGUGUGCGCUGAGUGUCAAUCUGGAUGAGGUCAGGCCGUGGAUCAGACAUCUGGAGGGCAUGGUGUCACUCUGCAUGAUCUCCUGGUCAUGCCAUCAGACAUGUGGAGCACGAGGUGCCGCGACGCAUGCGUCCGGAGCCAUGCGAAGCGACACACGGGCUGCCACCAACCUGAAGCUGAUUGGCUGGUGUCUCCUAUAUAAAGACCACGACCCCUUCUCAUUUCAUUCAUCCAGACCUUUCAAAAGCAAGUUAAAAAAGUGGGUUAGAGAGAGAGAAAGAAGUAGAAAAAGAAAGUAAGAGGUUUUGAGCUAUUUCGAGAGUUUUAGAGAGUUUUCGAGAUCAGUUUCUCUACUGAUUUCAAGUCAGCGCCUAGGGAAGGUUCUGGCCAACUGAAGAUCAACCAAUUGAAGAUCAAUUCAGAUGGGAAGCAAGUCAACGUGGUUAGAGAGAGAGAGAAAGAAAGUGUAGCUGAGUUCUGAAGACCGAUACUCCACCGAGAAGGCCAGUUCCGUCCAAUCGGCGAUUCUCUACGAUUGUGACGCGGAAGCUCUGUCCAAUUCAAUCCGUCCAAGCCAGUCAUAUUCUCCUACAAUCAAGUGGAGGUGCUGUCCAAGAUUAGUUCAGUUCCAUGGGUUCAGAUCAGUCGAAGUUCUCCUCGUUACUCCGCCGAAAUGUCCGAAGAACUGUCCAGCAGCUAAAGGAGAUUCUGUCCAGAUCAGUCUGUCCAGACGUGUCAGUUUCUUCAUGAUGAAGCCGAGGUUAUGUCCAAGUCAAGAUCAGUCCAGUGCAGUCCAGUCAAGGCGUCCCUUGGGUUUUGGCCAAGUCCUCUACGAUCAACCAGCUGCUUCUCGCCUAGAACACUGUGAGUUGGUUUGUUUGAAUUCCACUUGGAAUUUAGGGUAGAUCGAGUCUGCAUAUAGAUUAGAAUGAUCACGCAAUUGAAUGGUAGAGUCCUUAGGGUUAUUUUAUUUAUGGAACCGGACUCAGUUUAGCAAGGGCUAAGCUGAGAUGAAUGGAAUUAAGACUGAGUUAAUAACCUGACUAGGACUAGGGCUAGGAUGCAUCAUGUUUUCUAUUCUUGCGUGUUGAUAUGGUUGAGUGCAGGUUCCCGUUAUCUUUAAAGAUAGUUUCUCAGCGGGAGGCUGGACUAUCUGGGUAACGGUUUGAUUGUAUGGUUUAGUAUUGAUAUUAUUGUUUAGUAGUUAGUACUAAGGGUCUUAGGCCAUAUAGGCCGGACUACUGGUACUAUUGGUUUGUGUUGUAGAGUCGAGUGUCUAGUUAGGAUCUGGAAUUUUAUCUUUAGGUUAGGUUCUAGAUUGAGUUUGUGUUGUGUGAGUGUGCCGACAGUAUGUGCGUGACCCGCCCAUACUAGGCUUGUGUAGGGGUGAUUAGUGUUUCCUCGGCCUCGUACCCAGCGGGUUCAAGGAAACCCCUUAUUCGCUGGAUCGGGAAGACUCAGACGAACGGUGUCAUGUACUAUGGCUGAGUAUUACACGACGGUGUAAUGUGGCAGUGACCCGAAGGACUGUGGGCUGUCGCGCGGUGACCCGAAUGACUGUGGGCCGCGGUCGGUUGAAAGUUCCUUCUUCUGGCCUUUGUGGUAGGAAGAUAGGAUAUUGCCGAUAGAGAGGAGGAACACGAAGUCACCAGGGCCCAGGUUAGAGUGUUGUGUUAGAGUGUCGUAGAGGGUUAUGGAACCCUCGAGUUAGUGUAGCACCGAUAUACGGUGUUACAAGUUAGAUCGAGUCGUAGUUACUCAUAGUCUUAUUAUUGUGAUUGUGUUUGUGGUUGAUUGAUUUGCUUGCAGGUUCUGACGUUAAGUCUAAGUCUGGUUUAGGUACCGGAUUAGGCUUGACGUGUAUUUCGUUAGUGUAGGCCUGACGUUGGCCUGUAUGUGUUUGAGUGAUUGCUUGUGAAGGGUGGUGGAUAUUAAAGCUAUGCGGUAUCAUUGGUUGACCGAUCAUGUUCUUGUUUGAUUGUUGGUCGAUCGAUUAAUGAUACUUGUAUAGUCUAAGUGUCUAACACUACAUGAGUAUUGAACUCAGGCGUAUAUAUGGUUAACUAGGGAUUGCUUGUUGACUUGUUUUAAUGCAGGUUCCCGUUACUUGAAGCUAGAUCAUGGCAGGAGGCCAAGUCUAACUUAGUAACGGUUUGCUUAGCCUUAGCUUUUAUUGCAUGCUAGGGCUAGAUUGAUUGUUAUUUUGGGUUGUCUGGGUAGAGUCUAGGUUGCGGGUAGAGGCCGCCAGCUCACUGAGUAAUACUAGAUUACUCAUCCAACUCCGUUGUCCUUUUUGCAGGUCGCUUUAGGUAAGGAUGAUCGGAUAGCUUGGUGCUGGACGUUAGGACCGCCGGUGUAGAUUUUCAUGCCUUUUGUAAACGGUAUUGUGGAUUUGUGUUUAGUUGACUCGAUUUGGCAUUAGGCCGGGACCGGUCUCGAAUUAUAUCAAUGUAUGGAUAUUUCUCGAAUCAAUAAAGUAAUUGUUUUAUAUGCGCUUCAUGAGUACUCUGAUAUUUGACUAGUCCGGUCUAACACAACGUUAGGUCGAGGUACGGGUUGAAAAGCCUUAGGCCUUGAUCUAACGGAAAACGCUAACUCUAGGUACGGGUUGCAAAGCCUUAUGCCUUGACGCAGCGGGACGAGUUAGUGGAUGAACUGGUCUAGGUCGUGGAGUAAAGUUUGUGACUCUGACCGGAUUGUCCCUAGCCCGUCACGUAGCGCUUCCGGACCAUGAUGUUGGGUUGGACGGUCAGUCAUGUUCUUGUUUGAUUGUUGGCUGGCCGGUUGGCCUUUCAUCUCCAACCCUUGGUGUGGGUCGUCCGUCGGUCAUGUUCUUGUUUGAUUGUUGGCCGGUGGGUCGACCUAUGCUUAGGACGGUUCGGGGGUGUUACAGAGGUGGUAUCAGAGCAUGGUUUCGUCCAUGCUUCCGGAACUCAUGAUUUAAUCGGUUUUAAAUAUUUAUCGAGUCAAAAUGAGUCACAAAAGGCAUUAGGGAAACCGGUCACGUCCAGCGAUAGGAUUUGUGGUUUUAGGAAAUUAGGAUUGAGAUAGUGGAAUCUAGAACUGUUAGGUUGCUUGGGUAGAACUGUUAGGUUGCUUGGGUAGAACUGUUAGGUUGCUUGGGUAGCACUAUUAGGUUGCUGGUUAGAAUUGCGGUUAGGUUGCAUUGUUAGUAUUUGCUGGGUUAGUAGAUUAUUUGAUUAAUUGUCUACUAACUUGCAUGUGAAGUGUUCUUUUGAGUUGCAGCGAGUAAGUGCGUUUGUUGAUCGGUACUUUAAGGGAUGAAAACCUUAAAGUGGAGGGAGUUCAAGGCCAAACCCAAACCCGAAGCGAAAGAGGAGAGACAGAUUCGGAGAACUGGGCUGUGGUAUGGACUGGACAGAUGGGAAGAAACAAGACUUCGUUGGGAAAGGACUUCAUCAGUACUUGGGAAGACGAAGAUCGAGAAGGAUUUGAGGAAUCUGGACAAGGAUGAUAUCUAUCAAAAUGACAAGAUAGUAUCAUGGGCGAUGAGUGUGUUAUGACAGAGUAAAAGCAAGAGGACGACUCAGUCAUCAUACAAGUGAAGAGAUAUAAAGACAAUUGUGGAGGCCUUGAAGAGGACACUGAAGGAACCGUGGUGGAAGGAGCAAAGAGGUUAUGGAGACGACUGGAGAGUGUUGUGAAGACGAGCAAUUUCGCAACUAAGAAUUCGAGGACGAAUUCUAUUAAGGGGGGGAGAAUGUAGAAACCCGUUAAAAAAAAAAAAAAAAAAAAAAAAAAAAAAAAAGAAAAGAGAGAGAGAAUGGUCGAGUAUCUUUGUGGUUGAGUCGCGGGCAAUACAGAUCGAUCGGGAAAUUUGAAGUACGAGAAGUUCGAAGAAUGGAUCGUGAGUGAAGCAUGAGUUGAGAUAAGCUGCUCUACCAUUGUUAGAAAUGUCUUAGAUUGAUCAGACGGCAGUUUUGGAAGAAUCACAUUUUUUAAGCACGACGGUUUAGAAGCUCGACGUUUUUGAAGAUUGACGU